AAUUCUCAACCUUUCCAGUUUGUUAUGAACGGGUCAGGCUUGGAUGUGGGGGUUGCAGGCUUCUCAGAAGUCAGCUCCUCUUAAAUACAUUAGCAGUACCUUUGUGGACCAGCUUUGGUGUGAUAAUUAUCUACGCCAUGGUUGUGAAGCAGCUUUACAUGGGGUUCAGCUUCUAACAGUCCAUUGACUUGGACAAUUUUUGACA
rnacentral:misc_RNA from 1 species